GGCACACAACAGCCAUUAUGGGCCACUUGUGGAAUGGAGACAGGGAAGAAAAUCUUGAAAGAGAAGAAGUAACCAUUUUUCCUGGAUGGACUGCUGGUUUUGGAUUGCUAGCUUCUAUCUGUUGAGCCCUAGCUAGGCUACUGGCUGCUGGUUUGUGGCUGGCUCGCCAAAAAUGAUACAGUGUGUUGACGAGUCCAAGAGAUACAUUCCAGAUUCUUGUAUAUGUCAAAAGAACAAAGGAAGCCAAAAGGAAAAGAUCAAAAGAAGAGAAAACAUGAGAAAAAAAAGUCCAGCUCCUCAGGAAGUGAGGAUAGACUUCAGUCACAGCACCAGGACAGAUGUGGACAUUGAUCUGGCUCAGAGCCAUCACCUCAGCUCUGCUUCUGGAGAACAAUCAAUAUCUCCUGUCAACUUGCUACAAGUGCAGAGCGUAAAGCUGUGCCCCAAACAAUCCUCCCAGCAGUGACACUUCUACUUUAAACACAGUGUCCCUUCUUGACUGCACCACUGAGGGCCCAGGACACACAUAAGCCCCUGGGCCAUGGGGCUUUGGAUUUGAUUAAUGGAAGGAUGACCGCCAGCAGAUGGAAAGGGUUUUCCACUUGACAAAGGCAGAAAUAAAAAUCUAGUAUGAAAUUGCC
rnacentral:lncRNA from 1 species